rnacentral:misc_RNA from 1 species
CCGAGUUUACAACUCCCAAACCCCUGUGAACAUACCACUUGUUGCCUCGGCGGAUCAGCUCGCUCCCGGUAAAACGGGACGGCCCGCCAGAGGACCCCUAAACUCUGUUUCUAUAUGUAACUUCUGAGUAAAACCAUAAAUAAAUCA